rnacentral:lncRNA from 1 species
CGGGCGGGCAGGCGGGCAGGCCGGCAGGCGGGUGCGCGGAGGGCUGGUGCCCCGCAGCAGGUGGGCGGGGUGCGGUUGGCGGCGGCGGCUGGGCCGGGGGCUGCCGGCUGCGCUCGGGCCGUGCGCGGCGGCCGUGCGGGCACGCCAUGGACUUCAACAUGAAGAAGCUGGCGUCGGACGCGGGCAUCUUCUUCACCCGGGCGGUGCAGCUCAAGCCAAGUCCAGCGGCCGCAGUCUUCACCUCUCCACACUCACUUUUUAUCUGGUGUUUUUACUUCUGCCUGCGUUUGCUCUCUAGCCAAUAAACCGUCCUUGUGUGCGAGUC